UACGUAGGGCGCAAGCGUUGUCCGGAAUUAUUGGGCGUAAAGAGCUCGUAGGCGGUCUGUCGCGUCGGCUGUGAAAACCCGAGGCUCAACCUCGGGCCUGCAGUCGAUACGGGCAGACUAGAGUGCUGUAGGGGAGACUGGAAUUCCUGGUGUAGCGGUGAAAUGCGCAGAUAUCAGGAGGAACACCAAUGGCGAAGGCAGCUCGCUGGGACGGUACUGACGCUGAGACGCGAAAGCGUGGGGAGCGAACAGG
rnacentral:rRNA from 1 species